rnacentral:rRNA from 1 species
CCUACGGGUGGCAGCAGUGAGGCAUAUUGGUCAAUGGGCGCGAGCCUGAACCCGCCAAGUAGCGUGAAGGAUGACUGCCCUACGGGUUGUAAACUUCUUUUAUAACGGAAUAAAGUGCGGCACGUGUGCCUUUUUGUAUGUACUUUAUGAAUAAGGAUAGGCUAACUCCGUGCCAGCAGACGCGGUACUACGGAGGAUCCGAGCGUUAUCCGGAUUUAUUGGGUUUAAAGGGAGCGUAGAUGGGUUGUUAAGUCAGUUGUGAAAGUUUGCGGCUCAACCGUAAAAUUGCAAUUGAUACUGGCAGUCUGGAGUACAGUAGAGGUAGGCGGAAUUCGUGGUGUAGCGGUGAAAGGCUUAGAUAUCACGAAGAACUCCGAUUGCGAAGGCAGCUUACUAAACUGCCACUGACAUUGAGGCUCGAAAGUGUGGGUAUCAAACAGGAUUAGAUACCCUAGUAGUC